rnacentral:misc_RNA from 1 species
GAUGAAGAACGCAGCGAAAUGCGAUAAGUAAUGUGAAUUGCAGAAUUCAGUGAAUCAUCGAAUCUUUGAACGCACAUUGCGCCCCCUGGUAUUCCGGGGGGCAUGUCUGUUCGAGCGUCAUUACAACCCUCAAGCUCUGCUUGGUAUUGGGCCCCGCCAGUUCUGGCGGGCCCUAAAGUCAGUGGCGGUGCCUUCCGGCUCCGAGCGUAGUAAUUCUUCUCGCUCUGGAGACCCGGUUGUGUGCUUGCCAACAACCCCCAAUUUUUUAAGGUUGACCUCGGAUCAGGUAGGGAUACCCGCUGAACUUAAGCAUAUCAAUAAGCGGAGGA